CGGGCUUUCCCGUGCGCAGCCGUUGUGCUGCCCGCCUCGGCGGGAACCGGGCGGGGGAGGAGAGAGGAAGGAAAGGAACUCUGGUGUCUGUGGGUUCUGCUGGUCAUCUCUGGGACAGUUGUUGGCUCCAAAGUCGUGCCACUCUGCAGGGGAAGAGAAUUAACUUUGAAGGCAAGAAUAAGAAAGAAAGAAUACAUGGCAGAAGAAAGGCUAUCACUUUGUAGGACAGGAGGCCACUUCAACAUCCUUCUCCAGAGAGAAAUGGAAGAUCUCCAUGGAUUGUUCAAAACAUUGUAUUAUUCAGGGAAAACACAUUCCUCUAGAAGCUGGAAAUUGAAGAUGCAGAGGAAUUCCUAGAUGGGACAUACUUGAGACUGUGUCACUUGACUUUCAAAAUUAUUAAAGAAUCACAGUUCUUCAAAUUUCCUGAUUUUGAUGGAAAACUCUCCUGCACUCAUACAAAUUUAUGCAUCAUGGAAAGUGGUUUCAAGAGAAGUUAUAUGGUACAACUUUAAAUUACACUUUUUCUCUGCAGUAACACAGCCUCUUUCCUAGAGGCUUUUACCCCAAGAUUCCAUUGUCUUGGGGAAGAACUUUGAAACUGGAGUGAGAACUUACCAUAUUUAGAAAAGAGAUCUCCAGCCUGCCUCUUUACAGAGUGAGAAAAGCAAGGAAUACCUAACAACCAUUCAAGAGAAUAUCAGAGAAAAUUCAAGGAGCUACACAAUGUGUUUUUUUUUUCUUUUUUUUUUUUUUUCAGCAAGCCUCAUCCUGCAGCAACAGCAGCAAUUCCAGGACCUUCUGGUCCAGAGGCGUGCCAACCUACACAACAUGCAGUACUCACUGUCAAUCCAAACCCUGUGCUAUCAAAGCCAGGCUCUGGUGAUGACUCAAAAGCAUAUCUAUCUGCAUUCAGAUAAGUUACUAUGGCAACCUCUCUGGCCUAAAAAGAGAUGGACCACAUUAGUUACUUAGCAGCACCUUUUUGACAGGCGAAACACAAGCUGCUCAUUCCAGAUGAUGGUUUGAUUUAGAAUUAAGUCUGUCUGAGCGCUGCUGUGGAGUUCUCUGAAGUGCUAAUGAUGUAACCCAGAGAGAAGAUCUUCUUUUGGGACUCAACUUCAGACUGCGGCCUAAAGGGACUGAGCUAUAUGGUGGCUUUGCCUGAGAAACACAAGUUAACAGAACAGCUGACAAUCUUUUUCCCACAUUCUGAAGAAAUUCUUUCUGAAGAUCUUCUAAGCGCGGUCGGCUGGGCUAAGACACUCUUGCAGAAGAUGUGUAGGAUACCAAGGAUUACUUGAGUUGCUGCUGGCACAAAACAUCUUCUAGAUUGAAGUACAUAUUCAAAGUACAAAUAAUAAACCCUGCAGAAGUCGGAGUUCCCAUGACUGAUAUGAAGGAAGCCUGGAGUUCUAACAGAAAUGCAUGCAUUCCAAAUGAAAAACUGCAUGGUGUGAGGGCUCUUUAAGUUUUGGAUUAGGGAAUGAAGACUUCCAGAGACUAGGUUGGAGAGGAAAAUGGACCCCUCAAUGAAUCAAGACUGAAAAGAGAAAAAGUUGGACAUAUUACCCAUAAUCAUAUUCCACUAUCAGGAACCACUAUGUGGUUAAAAAACAAACUAAAAACAAAGCACAUCCAUAGUCCAAAGCAGGAGAAAGAUAUGGAACCAGGCCAUUAAUAUACCAAGCAACUUCUAUAGACUUGGGAAGUACUCAGCUCCCUAACUAGGAAAACUUUUUCACCCCAGAAACAAUAGAAAUAGUCUUACUGAUACAAUGGUUGUUCAGAAGUCCACAUAGAUGUCUGCUGACAUAGCUAUACUGCUUUAAGCCUAUGGCGGAAUGCUUGGUUGAAUAACUAAAACGCAAUCUUAAUAUACUAGUUGUUUGAGUAGGGUAAUGAAGCCCUGGUAAUCCAUACAAAGUGAGGAAGGUUUUGAAAUCACUUGUUGCUUCCAACUUUUGUGAAUCAAGAUAGGCAAAUCUGGCAUUGCAUGUAGACUAGUAGACUGUACCCAUAAGCAGAGGCAAACAAAUGAAGUAACAAAUAAAAAAGCAGAACUGGUGGCUA